GAUUGUUUCAGCCGCCGCGGUAAUACGUAGGGUGCAAGCGUUAAUCGGAAUUACUGGGCGUAAAGCGUGCGCAGGCGGUCUUGCAAGACAGAUGUGAAAUCCCCGGGCUUAACCUGGGAACUGCAUUUGUGACUGCAAGGCUGGAGUACGGUAGAGGGGGAUGGAAUUCCGCGUGUAGCAGUGAAAUGCGUAGAUAUGCGGAGGAACACCGAUGGCGAAGGCAAUCCCCUGGACCUGUACUGACGCUCAUGCACGAAAGCGUGGGGAGCAAACAGGAUUAGAUACCCUGGUAGUCCACGCCCUAAACGAUGUCAACUGGUUGUUGGGAAGGUUCCUUCUCAGUAACGUAGCUAACGCGUGAAGUUGACCGCCUGGGGAGUACGGCCGCAAGGUUGAAACUCCAAGGAAUUGACGGGGACCCGCACAAGCGGUGGAUGAUGUGGUUUAAUUCGACGCAACGCGAAAAACCUUACCUACCCUUGACAUGUCUGGAAUUUCGCAGAGAUGUGAAAGUGCUCGAAAGAGAACCAGAACACAGGUGCUGCAUGGCCGUCGUCAGCUCGUGUCGUGAGAUGUUGGGUUAAGUCCCGCAACGAGCGCAACCCUUGUCAUUAGUUGCUACGAAAGGGCACUCUAAUGAGACUGCCGGUGACAAACCGGAGGAAGGUGGGGAUGACGUCAGGUCAUCAUGGCCCUUAUGGGUAGGGCUACACACGUCAUACAAUGGCCGGUACAGAGGGCUGCCAACCCGCGAGGGGGAGCCAAUCCCAGAAAACCGGUCGUAGUCCGGAUCGCAGUCUGCAACUCGACUGCGUGAAGUCGGAAUCGCUAGUAAUCGCGGAUCAGCUUGCCGCGGUGAAUACGUUCCCGGGUCUUGUACACACCGCCCGU
rnacentral:rRNA from 1 species